rnacentral:rRNA from 1 species
AGAGUUUGAUCCUGGCUCAGGACGAACGCUGGCGGCGUGCUUAACACAUGCAAGUCGAACGAGAAUCUGUGGAAAGAGGAUUCGUCCAAUUGAAGCAGAGGACAGUGGCGGACGGGUGAGUAACGCGUGAGGAACCUGCCUUUCAGAGGGGGACAACAGUUGGAAACGACUGCUAAUACCGCAUGACAUAUAGAUGUCGCAUGGCAUUUAUAUCAAAGAUUUAUCGCUGAAAGAUGGCCUCGCGUCUGAUUAGCUAGUUGGUGAGGUAACGGCCCACCAAGGCGACGAUCAGUAGCCGGACUGAGAGGUUGAACGGCCACAUUGGGACUGAGAUACGGCCCAGACUCCUACGGGAGGCAGCAGUGGGGAAUAUUGGGCAAUGGGCGCAAGCCUGACCCAGCAACGCCGCGUGAAGGAAGAAGGCUUUCGGGUUGUAAACUUCUUUUGUCAGGGACGAGUAGAAGACGGUACCUGACGAAUAAGCCACGGCUAACUACGUGCCAGCAGCCGCGGUAAUACGUAGGUGGCAAGCGUUGUCCGGAUUUACUGGGUGUAAAGGGCGUGUAGCCGGGAGGGCAAGUCAGAUGUGAAAUCCACGGGCUCAACUCGUGAACUGCAUUUGAAACUACUCUUCUUGAGUAUCGGAGAGGCAAUCGGAAUUCCUAGUGUAGCGGUGAAAUGCGUAGAUAUUAGGAGGAACACCAGUGGCGAAGGCGGAUUGCUGGACGACAACUGACGGUGAGGCGCGAAAGCGUGGGGAGCAAACAGGAUUAGAUACCCUGGUAGUCCACGCUGUAAACGAUGAAUACUAGGUGUGCGGGGACUGACCCCCUGCGUGCCGCAGCUAACGCAAUAAGUAUUCCACCUGGGGAGUACGAUCGCAAGGUUGAAACUCAAAGGAAUUGACGGGGGCCCGCACAAGCGGUGGAUUAUGUGGUUUAAUUCGAAGCAACGCGAAGAACCUUACCAGGGCUUGACAUCCUACUAACGAGAUAGAGAUAUGUUAGGUGCCCUUCGGGGAAAGUAGAGACAGGUGGUGCAUGGUUGUCGUCAGCUCGUGUCGUGAGAUGUUGGGUUAAGUCCCGCAACGAGCGCAACCCCUAUUGUUAGUUGCUACGCAAGAGCACUCUAGCGAGACUGCCGUUGACAAAACGGAGGAAGGUGGGGACGACGUCAAAUCAUCAUGCCCCUUAUGUCCUGGGCUACACACGUAAUACAAUGGCAGGUACAGAGAGACGGUUGUACGUAAGUACGAUCAAAUCCUUAAAGCCUGUCUCAGUUCGGACUGGGGUCUGCAACCCGACCCCACGAAGCUGGAUUCGCUAGUAAUCGCGCAUCAGCCAUGGUGCGGUGAAUACGUUCCCGGGCCUUGUACACACCGCCCGUCAAGCCAUGAAAGCCGGGGGCGCCUAAAGUCCGUGACCGUAAGGAGCGGCCUAGGGCGAAACUGGUAAUUGGGGCUAAGUCGUAACAAGGUA